GCUCAAUGGUUCAUAUAUGGUGGUCCUGCCAUCGAAUCAAAUCUCUCUGGAUGAUUACAUAUGAAUUUAUAAAUAGAUUGGGAGGUUCCUAUUUGGAAUUCAAACCGGAAAUCGCUCUACUCCAUCUUUUGGGCUCAGAAAUAAAGGAUAAUUUUGAUAUUGUGAUCAUACAUUGCUUAAUGGCUGCUAAAAUAUUAAUUGCUAGAUUUUGGAAAAGUUCUGAUAUUCCCACGAGAGAUCAAG